rnacentral:rRNA from 1 species
UACGUAGGGUGCAAGCGUUGUCCGGAAUUAUUGGGCGUAAAGAGCUCGUAGGCGGUCUGUCGCGUCGGCUGUGAAAACCCGGGGCUCAACCCCGGGCCUGCAGUCGAUACGGGCAGACUAGAGUGUGGUAGGGGAGACUGGAAUUCCUGGUGUAGCGGUGAAAUGCGCAGAUAUCAGGAGGAACACCGGUGGCGAAGGCGGGUCUCUGGGCCGUAACUGACGCUGAGGAGCGAAAGCGUGGGGAGCGAACAGG